UUUCACUGUUUAAAAUGGACUUGUGGCCAGUCCCAUCAUCAGCCAUGUGACUGAAUUAAGUUUCACCGAGUUAUGAAACCUAGGUGACUAGUGUAGCAAACCUUAUUGCGAAUGAUGGAGAUGGUGAUGAUGAAUGCAACCAUCCAGAAAAUUAUCAGCUCGACAAUGAGACCAUUA